rnacentral:lncRNA from 1 species
GCCACCGUGCCUGGCCCAAACGGGGUUUCACCCCAUGUUGGCCAGGAUGGUCUCGAUCUCUUGACCUCGUGUUCCGCCCGCCUUGGCCUCCCAAAGUGCUGGGAUUACAGACGUGAGCCACCGCGCCCGGCCAAUUCUGUUAACUGAAAGUCAGAGCAGCUUAAAUAUCUCUAAUGACUUUCCAUCUAAGAAUAAAAUACAAAAUCCUAACAUGGACCCCAAGGCCCUCCAUGAUCUAUUACUACUGGUUCUCUGACCUCACCUUCUGACCUACCCUGCCCUCUCUUGCUGACUUACUUCCAGCCACCAUGGUCUCACCAUGGUUUCCCUGCAGUUCCUUCAACGAGCCAAACACGCUACCGCUUUAGGACUUUGUCCUUACCAUUCCCUCUGCCUGGAAUGUUCUUGCCCCAGAUGUCUACUUAUUUUUCUAGCUCCCUCACUUCAUUCAGGUUUCUGCUUAAAUGUCACUUCUUAAGGGGAGGGCUUCUUUGACCUCCAUGUCUAAAACAGUAUCCUUAUUUCCCUCAUUUUUUUCUUUUAAAAUCUAUCCUGAGACCCUGAACUCAACAAUUCCUCCCACACAAUUAACCCCAGGCACGUGGCCCUUCCUGUUGUUAACUCCUCUAUUUCCCUCACUUUUUACCACCAUCAUUACCACCUGUUUUACGUCCAUCUCUCUCCACCCCACUAGGAUAUAAACUCAGUAAGAACAGACCCUUGGUUCGUUUUGUUCAUUAUUAUAUCUAGAAAAGCAUCAUCUACUAACACUUACGAGGCUCUCCAUAAGUAACUGUUGACCAUAUAAAAGGCAGAUUGUUAUUAAUUUUUUGAGGUUGUCAUUUAAUCUACAUAUGUCAAUCUAUUAAUGAUGGCAGAGCCCAGGACUGAAACCUAGAUUUGACUUUUCCCAAAGCCUGUGGCUCACUCUUCAACUCCAGGUUCUAUCAGUUUCCUUUUUCUUCAGACAGCCUAUCAGCCAGGCUGGAGCGCAGUGAUGCAAUAUUGGCUUACUAUAACCACUGCCUCCCAGGUUCAAACAAUU